GCAGAGGCGGGGAAGGAGUCACGGGGCGCGCACGCCGGGGAAGACUACAAGGUGCAGAUUGAUGAGUAUGAUCACUCCAAGCCCAUCCAGGGGCAACAGAAGAAGCCCUUUGAGGUGCACUGGAGGAAGCACACCCUGUCCUAUGUGGACGUCGGCACUGGGAAGGUCACUGUGGAAUAUAGACCCAUAAUUGACAAAACUUUGAACGAGGCUGACUGUGCCACUGUCCCCCCAGCCAUUCACUCCUACUGAUGAGACAAGAUGUGGUGAUGACAGAAUCAGCUUUUUGCACAGCCAGAGGACAACACAUCACACACAAGAAACAGUUGUGCUCAUGUGAUGGGGGCCUCAGCACUAGGAAGGAGUGGACUGUUGGCGCACGCAGCAGCUUGAAUAAAUCUGAAAGUCACUACGCUGCGUAAGAGAAGCCAAAUAAAGCGCAUGCUGUGUACAGAGGGUGUCGAGAAUGCCUCCUACGUGACGGAAAGCAGAUCCGUGGUUCCCUGCAGACUGGCAGGAGCAGAUUCCAAAGGCACAGGAAGAAGCUUGCAGUACAAAGAUAAAAAUCUAAAGUGGUUGCUGUGGAGGACAGGGGUCAGUGGUGGAAGUGAGACCGAAAUAGACUCUGAAGUAAUAUCUGGACUUUGAAAUUGCAGCUGCUCCCAACCCCAGAACCUUUGCUGUCUUGGGACGGAUCACCACUGCAAGAGGGGAAGUUGCUACUGUGAUGAAUUCUGCCAUGUGGCACC
ensembl:lncRNA MUC20-OT1 MUC20 overlapping transcript